rnacentral:lncRNA from 1 species
CGUACAGAACUAUCAUUGUAGCAUUUCAACCCGUAAAUGGGUGUCGUAUUUAUAAUUCUCGUAGGAAGACAUUUAUAUCUAGCAUGGUUACAACAUGAUUACUUAUUAAAAUGCAUGGUAGGCAUAGAGUAAACAAGGGUAAGAUAUGAUAUUUGGAGAUAGUGGACACACAUCUGGGUCAUCCUCAAAGAUAAAAGAUAAAAUAAAGAAUAAAAGAAUAUAACUACUGAGCAGGCAUGGUUCGUAUAUAACUGUGCUAAGAACUAUUAGUAAGUCAUUUAACUAGUAUGUCUAG